rnacentral:lncRNA from 1 species
AAUUUUUCAUCCAGCUUUGGAAAAAGAAAGCAAGCAAUGUUCUGUGGCAGAUACUUCUGUGUGUGGCGUGUGGUCUCACUCCCAUUGAAGCAUUUUGGACUGCUGAAGGUUGGUGCAUUGUGUUUUACUCUUUCCCAUAGCAGGAACUUGUAGUUUCCUUGCUCUACGAGUGGUGCUUGGCAAGUCAUUGAGGCAAGGCAGUAGUCAGCCUUAAUGCCACCCCCCAGG